CUAUGUGCUUGUAACAUUUAUAUUUACAGCAGUCACCCACACAGGAGUUAAAGUGUGCAUCUGUCAUCCAUUCACAUAUUUACAGGCAGUAAAAGAAAAGAUCUGCACACAGUCUCUUUGUGUUAACUUCACACCGACAGCAGACCUGUUCUUAUGACUCUCACGUAAGAGAUCAUAGACUAGCAUGGAUUUUUUUCUACGCUUAUGGUAAUAAAUUUAGAAUUGCCUUGAUGCAGCACUCCGUGGUUUUCAGGUUGAUUCAUUUUGCAAUUUGUCACCAUUUGACUUUGUGCAGAGUCUCGAUUUUUUUUUAAAGAUAGUGUGAGCUUACAGUAAUUGUGUUUAUAUGCAGUUCCUGGUCAUGACUCAUUUGCAUGCAUGUGGCUCAUUGAGGGAUUUUUCAUUUAAUUCAGAGUUGCUAGUUUAAAAGUUUAAUUAAUGAAAAACAGUUUUCUUAGCUUAAAACAUUUUAAUGUUCUAAACAUAAAAUAUUCUAAAAAGACAUAUAUUCAUCUAAAAAAAAGUGUUAUUUGCAUAGUUGCAUGAUUGAUGUUAUCUUUCUUUGUAUGCUAAACUCAGAUAACUUCUCAGUUAAAAAAAAAUGGUCACCAAAGAAUUCAAUAUUUCUUGCAUAAGGAAAUAAUUCCUUUUAAUAGAAGAUUUGCUCAGCAACAGAAUGAUGUCAAGUUUCUUUGGGAACAGCUGCAGUUGGAGCAUUAUUGUGGAUUGUAGGAAUAUAUAGGCAUUUCAAUUUGCCUGGCAGAUCUUUUGUGUCAAGAGGGCUAGUACCAUGUGAAGACAUUUUUGACACCAACUGUAGUGUACUCGGGGAUUUCAAAGAAUGCAAAUGAAUUUCAUGGAGAUAAAAAAAGUUCUCAAAUGUCUGUGGCAUGUGUAUAAGGUUUUCAUUUCAGAUUUAAGUCUUAGAAAAAAAACAGAUGAAAAGGUGUUUCUCCACAUUUUAAAUAGCAAAUAAAAUGACUGUUAGGAUAAAUGAACACAGAAGCAAGGAAUAAAUUACCUGAAAUUCAAUUUUCUGCUUUUAUAUUUUUUAUAUUGUGUGCUUAAUUUUUGUUUGUUAUUUUUUAAUUUUAAAAAUGAUACUUGAUAUUAUACCUAACAGGCUGUAAAGCGUUUUUGCAUCACAAAUUGAAAAUUUUUUAAAAUAUGGCCAAUGUACUAAUCAGAUCAACAAUUAAGGUUAAGGUUAACGCUUAAUUAUGAUUUGUUGUCAAUACACCAUGCAUUUUGAAUGAAAACAAUCUACUAUCUGCACAAAUAUGAGGGAUGUGAAGACAUGAGUUUCAGCCAACUCAAUUGUAGGCAAAACAUACGACAUCAUCAACGUCAUUGAGGACGGACUUGGUAACAAAUUAAAUGGAAUAUCAAUGGUUAUCGUCGGUUUUUUUUUUUUUUUUUGUUUUUGGAAGAUACUGAGGGUACAAGAAUGUGAACAAUCACUGUCACUGGAGUUUGUCUCCCCUCCCCCUCAAAAGUAUCUUCCUACACCACUGGAGGGAGGGAUUGAGGUGUAGGAGGGUGGGCGCUGUUCUGUGGUUCCGCAGAUAUUGACUACUGUUGUUGGUGCUGUUAAUUUUGUGCUGUCCUUUAUUUGUUGCUCCUUGGUUUGGGGCCUAAAAGGCAGGUCCCUACCAAGUGGUAGCCUGAGAUAAUGGUGGGGUUCUUUUAUUGUUUUUUAAUAUCUCUGUGUAUUCUUUGUGUUUAAAUAUAUUUCUCAAGUUCUCAUAUAUAUUGAUUUGAAUAUAGAUAUAUUUUCAUAUUUUUAAAUACUUACCCUUCGUUAUCAUGAAAGAUAUGCGUGAUUUUAAUGUUGUUAUAAAUGUCAAAAGAGGCCCAUAUACUUUUGGAAAUUAAUGGUUAGCUCAAGCUAUCGAUUUAUUUAUGGCAACCCUUUAAUAGCUUUUAGUUUUUUUAUAAGGGGAUUUGGUCUUAUGUUUAUAUAAAUCUAUGUGUGAUGGCAUGUUACCAUAGUUACUACGUAUGGCUGUACAUUAUGCUAUAGUUUUUUCACUUUCAGGCACCGGUAUAGAUGUGAUAUGUUUGUUGCCGUCGGGAAGGGGGUCAUCUCCCUUUAUUCCUCCCCUACAUCACCCCAAAAUCUUCAAGCAGUACAAAACCGCGCUUGUGAUACUCUAUCUCGCACAUAAAAGACUCGAUCGCUUGUCACCACUGCAGUGAGCGGCGGCUCGGGGUAUUUCAGAUCUCGUCUCGGGACACCCUCUGUAUGUGACACCUGUCCACAGCACGGACGUGUAUAGAUGGACUGCUGUCUGCAGAGACCAAUGUUUAGCAUCUUACGAAGUUUUCCCGCUGCAACCCUAUGAACCCAACGGAAGCUUUGUAUACACACCUGCCUCGUUUUAGUAAUUAACUGGAAAUCAUCUGCCAGCAGUCCAGCAUUACAAGUUCGUGGUCUCCGGUUUCCUCCCUCCUCCCGGUCCCCCAUAGUGCGAUAUCGCCGCAAGGUGGAAGCCCUUUACCUACUAAACAAACCAACCAACCCAUAAAAUCAGUCUGAGCUGAUUCAUGUCAAUCUUUGAUGUCGGUGUCCACACGUAACAAACCAAAAGUGAGAAAUGCAGGGCUGUCGGGGUCCAUGGCAGGUGGUUGAUAGGCCACUUAGUCGUCCCUCCCUCGAGGCCUCUUGCGUAACGAGAGUACUAUGUAGGUCACACUGCACGGCCUGUGAGUGUCAGCAGCUAAACGCAGUCAAACUUCCGACAGGAGGAAGUGUCAUCCUGUCACACUACGGGGAUGAUGACAACUAAAACCUGUCACCUUUUUUUGUUGUGUUUUGAAGGGAAAAGUUCUUCCACCCGAAUGUUUGAAACUUCGUAGUGUGAAUAAAAUUUACGUGCAGCCUAGACCGGCCUUUUUUUUUUUCUUCCUCCGUCGGCGAUCACGCUAUUGACGCAUUGAAACACAAAACAUGCAAACAACAACAAACAGAAGGCCAGUAUCGUCAUAUAUGUAUUUUCUGAAACCUUUAUUCAUCCAUUGAUGUAGUUUCAGAUUCAACCAAGAAAAAAAUAAAGGUGUAAGCAAUCCAAGUCCGACUGUAUGCCAACUUUAAUUGUCACAAGCUCAUUUAUCAAUCUGGUGUUUUUAUGGUUUGCCACCAUCUUAACGGUAUCUGUAUUUUUUCUUUUGUGAGGAUGAGGGGUGUAAAUUUUACUUAUUCAAGCUAUCCUAUCUUUGGUUAUAGUUUUGGUUAUGAAUGGCCGAAGGAAGCUCAUACUGUAUUUCAAUGAUAUGUUUCAAAUUUCAUUUACGGUUAUGCUAGGCUAACAGUCCCGCUCAUUCAUUUAUGGCAAUGUUUAGAAUUUUUUAUUUUGGUUUUUGUUGUUUUUCAAUGGAAUGUUAUCCAGUUUGUACUCUCUGCCUGUUUAUAUGCACCUAAAUUCGGAAUUUUGCUUUCCACCAUUGGGACUACUAAUGACAGUAUAGUAUGCCAUAGCUGUUUGGGUUUGUUAAGGCAACUAAUAAUGUUUAAUGCCAGUCUAUAUUAAUAUAAGACAGUUUAAGCCUUCUCUUUCCUAAUUAUUCUCUAACAGCACGUGUGAGGUGAUAUAUCUGUGACAAGGGUCUUUGUAUUUAGUUAAGUAUACUUCGUUAAGCCUUAUUCUAGCCGUUUUGGAUUACAUAUGGGACCACGAACUUGUCUGUACACGUCCGUGGUGGGACUAUCAGCACUUCGUUUUGCAACCAGUCUAGCUAGUUUAUCAAUCUCUUCAUUUUUUUUACUCCGAUAUGCGAGGGAAGCUAAAGGAAUCAAUGGCUCCAUAUUCUGUUUGAGAAAGUAUCUGAGAAGGAUGAACAGCGCAAAUGACACAAACAUAAAGAGAACUGAAUUUUCAAACUUUAUUUUUAUUGCUUUUUUGUCUUUCUCUAUAUCUCUUAUCUUUCUUUCGAAAGUAAUCAAAAUCUACCCUAAUUUUUGCUACAACGCAAGUGAAGUAAUGUUGAGGAAAUGCCUUGAUUAAACUAAGACCAACAUUUGGUGAUGAUGUCGGCACAAACAAUUAAACGCGCGCAGACACCAUGACAGUUACAGGUGGCUGAUUGACCACUUAUGUAGUCUUCACAUGCCUGCCGCCUGUCCAUUGGUCAUGUAAGUAGACAAGUUGCUGAGAGGUCACUGCGCCUAAAAAGAACCAAGGGCCAAACCAGGGAGCAGAGAUAAACUCCCGACAGAUGGCGGCCUUUCUGUUAUUUGAGGGUAGUGGUGUCAAGUGGUCUUAGUCGUACUUAGGCCGACUCUCCGCUUUGCUCGAGGCGAUUUAGCUCUGACGAUAAAAGCCUUCGGGGGGAAAGGAGUGAAACAGUUGUAGUGGGAGGGCUUGUUUAGGGCAGCGUGUACCACCGACAGUGCUUGUUCCCCACAACCCACAUCCCCUUCCACCCCACGCUUGGUCGCGCGAGACGGACAACAGCAGGUGACGCAGCACCCAAACUGUCCCGUAUAAAUAGCAGGCAAAACUGUCCCGUAUAAAUAGCAAGCAAAAGUCAGCGCUUGCACCUGUUUACCGAAAGGCGGCUGGUCCUGCUGUGAAAAGCAGUAAAACUUUAGUUCUGAGUACGUGAGUAGUAGUACCAUUCUGUAGCGAAUCGAAACCUCCGGGAUCACUACACCGCAAGGUGGUUUGCUCCCGCUGGAAAACGGCUCGCGUCACUCAACCAUUCCCUCCAAAUAAAAGCACACUGAGUUUUGCCGCAAGAUAUUUAAAAUUAAAAAAAAAGGAUAAACUCUCAGUAAUCAUUUUUUUUCCUGACAGAGAUUCAAAAACAGACAAUUUGGCAAAAUUGUACAGCUGUUGGAAAAUAAAAGAUCAUGGCAAUAAAAUAGUACACUCAUAGACAUGUCCUGAACAUGAAAGCGAAAAAUCAUUCCCUCCAAAUAAAAGCACACUGAGUUUCGCCGCAAGAAAUUUAAAAUUAAAAAAAAAAAAAAAGAUAAACUCUCAGUAAUCAUUUUUUUCCUGACAGAGAUUCAAAAACAGACAAUUUGGCAAAAUUGUACAGCUGUUGGAAAAUAAAAGAUCAUGGCAAUAAAAUAGUACACUCAUAGACAUGUCCUGAACAUGAAAACGAAAAAUCAAAUUAGUUCUGCCAAACCUGGGAGGAGCAAAAUGACUCCAUUGGAGCAACUGAAAAACAAACUAUAAAGACAAUGAUUUAAUGUUAACGAAAAAAACAAAACAAAAAACAAAACCAAAAAUAGAUGCACCCAAUGUACUUGUCAUCAAACAGCAAUCCAUCUCAUUAUUUUCAGAUUUUUCCUCACGAGGCCUCUCUAAACAUAAGAUACCAGAUCUGAACUCAAUUUUGUUCAGAAUAUCUGCAAAAAUAUUUUUACAGUUCAAAGAAAAUAAAAAUCAGUAAGCUGCUAUAUCGAUAUAGGCAAAAUGUGCACAAAUAAACAUGUUAAAAUCAUUUCUUGUAAUCUUAUUGUAGUGCAAUGUUUACAAACUGCAGUACUGUUUGCUCUAACUUUAGAACUUAUUUAGCAUAAAUAAGCUCAUAAUGGAGAAUCUGUCAGGAGGAUAAUUAUCGUAAUUGAUAAAAAAAAAAUGCCUAUUAAAUAUUGAGCACAUAUUAUAGUACUGAUUUUCUCUAUCCAGUCUAUAUCUAGAUUAGAGUGAUCACGUUUUUACAUUAACAGUUAGAGUAAUUAAGAUUUAACAUUCAUUUAACGGUUCAUAAAAUGUUAUGCAAAAUUCUUAGGUAAUCAAACAUCACACCAGUAUGUUAAACAAGAGAAGUCAAAACUGACUAGAAUUUUGAGUGAGUAAAGGAAUAAAAUUCUCAUUGCUCCUUAACCCUUAUAGCAUGAUAAGCCUCGAUCUCUGCUUUGCCAAUUUUCAUUACUUUUAUUGCAAAGUUCAAGCUUUCUCUUUUCCAAAAAUGGUCUAAUAUUUACUUGAGAGCAGCAAUGAUAAAAACAAACAUCAUCCACUAAAAUCAAGGGAUCACACUUUUCUUGAAAAUGGAUUAAAAAAAAAAACACUUCAAGGAGAACACGAAAGUAUGGGUCAACAGGUUAAAAAUACACACAGAAUAAAAUAAGCAUGCAAAGGCACAAAGGCAAGUGAACCAUGAAUCCUGAUAUAAGGGUUUGUGUGAAGAACAAGUGGAAAGACUAUGUAUUGGUGAAAAAAAAAAAGAAAAGAAAAGGCACUCUUUCUAUGUUGAAUUGAUGAAGGAUAAUGGUAAGGUUCUGAAAGAUUCUGGAGAAAUUAUUUUGUGACAGAUAUCUCUCUGUGUGUUUUGCAAAAGUAAUGCCUAUGUGUGUGACAUAAAUAAUAAAAGUAUGUAA